rnacentral:rRNA from 1 species
GUCGAGCGAACAGGACGAGAAGCUUGCUCUCUCUGAUGUUAGCGGCGGCACGGGUGAGUAACACGUGGGUAACCUACCUAUAAGACUGGGAUAACUUCGGGAAACCGGAGCUAAUACCGGAUAAUAUUUUGAACCGCAUGGUUCAAAAGUGAAAGACGGUCUUGCUGUCACUUAUAGAUGGAUCCGCGCUGCAUUAGCUAGUUGGUAAGGUAACGGCUUACCAAGGCAACGAUGCAUAGCCGACCUGAGAGGGUGAUCGGCCACACUGGAACUGAGACACGGUCCAGACUCCUACGGGAGGCAGCAGUAGGGAAUCUUCCGCAAUGGGCGAAAGCCUGACGGAGCAACGCCGCGUGAGUGAUGAAGGUCUUCGGAUCGUAAAACUCUGUUAUUAGGGAAGAACAUAUGUGUAAGUAACUGUGCACAUCUUGACGGUACCUAAUCAGAAAGCCACGGCUAACUACGUGCCAGCAGCCGCGGUAAUACGUAGGUGGCAAGCGUUAUCCGGAAUUAUUGGGCGUAAAGCGCGCGUAGGCGGUUUUUUAAGUCUGAUGUGAAAGCCCACGGCUCAACCGUGGAGGGUCAUUGGAAACUGGAAAACUUGAGUGCAGAAGAGGAAAGUGGAAUUCCAUGUGUAGCGGUGAAAUGCGCAGAGAUAUGGAGGAACACCAGUGGCGAAGCGACUUUCUGGUCUGUAACUGACGCUGAUGUGCGAAAGCGUGGGGAUCAAACAGGAUUAGAUACCCUGGUAGUCCACGCCGUAAACGAUGAGUGCUAAGUGU